GACGAACGCUGGCGGCGUGCUUAACACAUGCAAGUCGAACGGAAAGGCCCUGCUUUUGUGGGGUGCUCGAGUGGCGAACGGGUGAGUAACACGUGAGUAACCUGCCCUUGACUUUGGGAUAACUUCAGGAAACUGGAGCUAAUACCGGAUAGGAGCUCCUGCUGCAUGGUGGGGGUUGGAAAGUUUCGGCGGUUGGGGAUGGACUCGCGGCUUAUCAGCUUGUUGGUGGGGUAGUGGCUUACCAAGGCUUUGACGGGUAGCCGGCCUGAGAGGGUGACCGGCCACAUGGGGACUGAGAUACGGCCCAGACUCCUACGGGAGGCAGCAGUGGGGAAUAUUGCACAAUGGGCGGAAGCCUGAUGCAGCAACGCCGCGUGCGGGAUGACGGCCUUCGGGUUGUAAACCGCUUUCGCCUGUGACGAAGCGUGAGUGACGGUAAUGGGUAAAGAAGCACCGGCUAACUACGU
rnacentral:rRNA from 1 species